rnacentral:sRNA from 1 species
UGUAGGUUUGAGGAGUGAGACGAUGUUUUCGCAAAGAAAAAGUGUGCUUCCCAAAAUUCUGCACGUUGGUGGACAGCAGGAAAGAUGAGCAUAUGCAACAGAAAGAAUGAGAAACAUCUGCAUUCGUUGGGGUAUCAGGAACAUGAGCAUUUCAUCACUGUGCUGCAGCUCAUCUCCAUUGUCCUCUUGGCUGCUCUGCUCAUGGCUAUCCUUUUCAAAGGUUCUGAGGUUCCUACAUCCCAAGAGCAUGAUCAUGAAAAGCAACGCAUUCACCAGAAACUGGAUCAGCUGAAGGCUAAACUGGGUAUGUGACCAGACAGUGGAUCUCUAAGAGCAUGGAAAUGUUUCCACAUGGCAUGAAGUGACUGCAGAGGUUGGACCUCCAGUCACUCAGUUUCUACAUAUGUUGAAUGGGAACACUGAGGAACAUUAAAGAUAUAAGUUACUAGACACAACAGGCCCUGCCUACAGUCCCUUAAUUUCUAAAUCUGUUGAAUGGGAACUCAGAUAAAUAUUUAAAAUGGCACUUACUGGAUACAUGGG